AGCGAACGCUGGCGGCAGGCCUAACACAUGCAAGUCGAACGGAUCCUUCGGGAUUAGUGGCGGACGGGUGUGUAACACGUGGGAACGUGCCCUUUGGUUCGGAACAACUCAGGGAAACUUGAGCUAAUACCGGAUGUGCCCUUAGGGGGAAAGAUUUAUUGCCAUUGAUGCGUCCCUCGUCUGAUUAGCUAGUUGGUGAGGUAACGGCCCACCAAGGCGACGAUCAGUAGCUGGUCUGAGAGGAUGAUCAGCCACACUGGGACUGAGACACGGCCCAGACUCCUACGGGAGGCAGCAGUGGGGAAUCUUGCGCAAUGGGCGAAAGCCUGACGCAGCCAUGCCGCGUGAAUGAUGAAGGUCUUAGGAUUGUAAAAUUCUUUCAGCGGGGACGAUAAUGACGGUACCCGCAGAAGAAGCUCCGGCUAACUUCGUG
rnacentral:rRNA from 1 species